UACGUAGGGGGCGAGCGUUGUCCGGAAUCAUUGGGCGUAAAGCGCGUGUAGGCGGUUCAGUAAGUCUGCUGUGAAAGUCCAGGGCUCAACCCUGGGAUGCCGGUGGAUACUGCUGAACUAGAGUGCGGAAGAGGCGAGUGGAAUUCCCGGUGUAGCGGUGAAAUGCGCAGAUAUCAGGAAGAACACCCGUGGCGAAGGCGGCUCUCUGGAACGCAACUGACGCUGAGACGCGAAAGCGUGGGGAGCAAACAGG
rnacentral:rRNA from 1 species